UUACUUUGGCAGAUUAGUGCUUUAAAUUUAGAAUUUAAAUAUAUGUAUGUUUACAUAGGUAAUAU
rnacentral:tRNA from 1 species